UCCUUGACCCAGAGCCGGCGGCCACCGCCCCUGCCCGCGGCGGCGGCGGCGCCACCGGGGGCUGCACCGGACGAGUGCUCGUGGUCGCCGUCAUUGCUGCCGGCGCUGUUCUCCCGGGAGCUGGUGGUCGGGGAGCGCUGCCUCUUGACACCAGACGCCUCGCCUUCCAGGAGCUGGUGGUAGUCGGCGCUCCUCUUCCUGCUCGGGUCCGCCAUCGCCACCGGCGCCUGGAACGCCGGCAGCGCCGCCGCCUGCUCCUCGGCGCACAGGUGCGUGAACCAGGACGUGAGGUCGUCUCCGGCGGGCAGGUCAAACAAGGAGCCGAACUGCGCCUCGGUGUACGAGGUGCUCAUCUAGGUGAUGCCGGUGUCGAGAGGCUGUAGGCAAGAAC
rnacentral:lncRNA from 1 species